rnacentral:rRNA from 1 species
CUAAGAAUAUUCCGCAAUGGACGAAAGUCUGACGGAGCGACGCCGCGUGGAUGAAGAAGGCCGAAAGGUUGUAAAGUCCUUUUGUUGGGGAAGAAUAAGCGCGGGAGGGAAUGCCCGCGUGAUGACAUGAACCGACGAAUAAGCCCCGGCUAACUACGUGCCAGCAGCCGCGGUAACACGUAGGGGGCGAGCGUUGUUCGGAAUUACUGGGCGUAAAGGGCAUGUAGGCGGCCUUGUAAGCCUGGCGUGAAAGUCACCGGCUUAACCGGUGGAUUGCGUCGGGAACUGCAGGGCUUGAGUCACGGAGAGGGAGCUAGAAUUCCUGGUGUAGGGGUGAAAUCUGUAGAGAUCAGGAAGAAUACCAAUGGCGAAGGCAAGCUCCUGGCCGAUGACUGACGCU